rnacentral:rRNA from 1 species
AGUGCAUGUGGUGGAUGCCUUGGCAGUCAGAGGCGAUGAAAGACGUGAUAGCCUGCGAAAAGCUCCGGGGAGGCGGCAAAUAUCCUUUGAUCCGGAGAUGUCUGAAUGGGGGAACCCACCUACUUUAAGGUAGGUAUUGCAACAUGAAUACAUAGUGUUGCAAGGCGAACGAGGGGAAGUGAAACAUCUCAGUACCCUUAGGAAAAGAAAUCAAUUGAGAUUCCCUCAGUAGCGGCGAGCGAACGGGGAUCAGCCCAUUAAGUUAUGUGUGUUUUAGUGGAACGCUCUGGGAAGUGCGAACGUAGAGGGUGAUAUUCCCGUACACGAAAGGGCACACAUAAUGAUGACGAGUAGGGCGAGGCACGUGAAACCUUGUCUGAAUAUGGGGGGACCAUCCUCCAAGGCUAAAUACUCCUGACUGACCGAUAGUGAACCAGUACCGUGAGGGAAAGGCGAAAAGAACCCCUGUGAGGGGAGUGAAAUAGAUCCUGAAACCGCAUGCAUACAAGCAGUGGGAGCACCUUCGUGGUGUGACUGCGUACCUUUUGUAUAAUGGGUCAGCGACUUAUAUUCAGUAGCGAGGUUAACCGUAUAGGGGAGCCGUAGAGAAAUCGAGUCUUAAUAGGGCGUUUAGUUGCUGGGUAUAGACCCGAAACCAGGCGAUCUAUCCAUGAGCAGGUUGAAGGUUGGGUAACACUAACUGGAGGACCGAACCCACUGUCGUUGAAAAGCCAGGGGAUGACUUGUGGAUAGGGGUGAAAGGCUAAUCAAGCCUGGUGAUAGCUGGUUCUCCCCGAAAGCUAUUUAGGUAGCGCCUCGGACGAAUACCAUAGGGGGUAGAGCACUGUUUCGGCUAGGGGGUCAUCCCGACUUACCAAACCGAUGCAAACUCCGAAUACCUAUGAGUACUAUCCGGGAGACAGACUGCGGGUGCUAACGUCCGUAGUCAAGAGGAAAACAAUCCAGACCGCCAGCUAAGGCCCCAAAAUCAUAGUUAAGUGGGAAACGAUGUGGGAAGGCAUAGACAGCUAGGAGGUUGGCUUAGAAGCAGCCACCCUUUAAAGAAAGCGUAAUAGCUCACUAGUCGAGUCGGCCUGCGCGGAAGAUGUAACGGGGCUAAAACUAUGUGCCGAAGCUGCGGAUGUAUACUUUGUAUACGUGGUAGGGGAGCGUUCUGUAAGCCGAUGAAGGUGUGUUGAGAAGCAUGCUGGAGGUAUCAGAAGUGCGAAUGCUGACGUGAGUAACGACAAAACGGGUGAAAAACCCGUUCGCCGAAAGACCAAGGGUUCCAGUCCAACGUUAAUCGGGGCUGGGUGAGUCGACCCCUAAGGCGAGGCCGAAAGGCGUAGUCGAUGGGAAAAUGGUUAAUAUUCCAUUACUUCUGUGUAAUGCGAUGAGAGGACGGAGAAGGCUAAAUCAGCCUGGCGUUGGUUGUCCAGGUGAAAGGAUGUAGGCAUGUAUCUUAGGCAAAUCCGGGGUACUCUAUGCUGAGAUCUGAUAGCAAGCUGUACUUGUACAGCGAAGUGGUUGAUGCCAUGCUUCCAGGAAAAGUCUCUAAGCUUCAGUUACACAGGAAUCGUACCCGAAACCGACACAGGUGGUCAGGUCGAGUAGACCAAGGCGCUUGAGAGAACUCUGCUGAAGGAACUAGGCAAAAUGGUACCGUAACUUCGGGAGAAGGUACGCUGUUGUUGGUGAUGGAACUCGCUUCCUGAGCUGACGACAGCCGCAGAAAACAGGCCGCUGCAACUGUUUAUUAAAAACAUAGCACUCUGCAAACACGAAAGUGGACGUAUAGGGUGUGAUGCCUGCCCGGUGCUGGAAGGUUAAUUGAUGGGGUUAGCGUAAGCGAAGCUCUUGAUCGAAGCCCCAGUAAACGGCGGCCGUAACUAUAACGGUCCUAAGGUAGCGAAAUUCCUUGUCGGGUAAGUUCCGACCUGCACGAAUGGCAUAAUGAUGGCGGCGCUGUCUCCAGCAGAGGCUCAGUGAAAUCGAAAUCGCUGUGAAGAUGCAGUGUACCCGCGGCUAGACGGAAAGACCCCGUGAACCUUUACUGCAGCUUGACACUGAACUUUGACCUUACUUGUGUAGGAUAGGUGGGAGGCUUUGAAGCUGGAACGCUAGUUCCAGU